GACGAACGCUGGCGGCGUGCUUAACACAUGCAAGUCGAACGGGCAGGCCCUGCUUUUGUGGGGUGCUCGAGUGGCGAACGGAUGAGUAACACGUGAGUAACCUGCCCUCGCAUUUGGGAUAACUUCAGUAAACUGGGGCAAACACCGGAUAGGAGCUCCUGCUGCAUGGUGGGGGUUGGAAAGAUUCGGCGGUUGGGGAUGGACUCGGGGCUUAUCAGCUUGUUGGUGGGGUAGUGGCUUACCAAGGCUUUGACGGGUAGCCGGCCUGAGAGGGUGACCGGCCACAGUGGGACUGAGAUACGGCCCAGAGUCAUACGGGAGGCAGCAGUGGGGGAUUGUGCACGAUGGGCGGAAGCCGGAUGCAGCAACGCCGCGUGCGGGAUGACGGCCUCCGGGUUGGAAACCGCAUUCGCCUGUGACGAAGCGUGAGGGACGGUAAUGGGUAGAGAAGCACCGGCUAACUACGUG
rnacentral:rRNA from 1 species